rfam:Phanerochaete carnosa HHB-10118-sp unplaced genomic scaffold PHACAscaffold_1, whole genome shotgun sequence.
GGCACUAUAGUGUAGUGGUUAUCACUCAGGAUUUUGACAUUGCGUAUUUUCCUGAAACCCAGGUUCGAACCCUGGUAGCGCCU